UACGGAGGGUGCGAGCGUUGUCCGGAAUCACUGGGCGUAAAGGGCGCGUAGGCGGCUUGGGAAGUCCGUGGUGAAAGCUCGUGGCUCAACUACGAGUCGGCCAUGGAUACUCCUAAGCUCGAGUCGACUAGAGGCAGAUGGAAUUCCGGGUGUAGCGGUGGAAUGCGUAGAGAUCCGGAAGAACACCGGUGGCGAAGGCGGUCUGCUGGGGUCGAACUGACGCUGAGGCGCGACAGCGUGGGAGCAAACAGG
rnacentral:rRNA from 1 species